rnacentral:rRNA from 1 species
CCCUUAGAUGUCCUGGGCCGCACGCGCGCUACACUGACAUGUUCAACAAGCCUCCUAGUUCGACAGGAUUUGGGAAAUCUUUGAACGCAUGUCGUGAUAGGGAUAGAUCAUUACAAUUAUUGAUCUUGAACGAGGAAUUCCUAGUAAACGCGAGUCAUCAGCUCGCAUUGAUUACGUCCCUGCCCUUUGUACACACCGCCCGUCGCACCUACCGAUUGAAUGUUUCGGUGAAGAUUCCGGAUAGGACUUUUUUGAUUUAUUUCAAUUUUGUCUUAAAAGCUAUCUAAACCUCAACAUUUAGAGGAAGGUGAAGUCGUAACA